UGCGUAGGCGGGUCUUUAAGUCAGGGGUGAAGUCCUGGAGCUCAACUCCAGAACUACCUUUGAUACUGAAGAUCUUGAGUUCGGGAGAGGUGAGUGGAACUGCGAGUGUAGAGGUGAAAUUCGUAGAUAUUCGCAAGAACACCAGUGGCGAAGGCGGCUCACUGGCCCGAUACUGACGCUGAGGCACGAAAGCGUGGGGAGCAAACA
rnacentral:rRNA from 1 species